rnacentral:rRNA from 1 species
UGGGGAAUAUUGGGGCAAUGGGGGGAAACCCUGAUGCAGCGACGCCGCGUGAGGGAAGACGGUCCUCUGGAUUGUAAACCUCCGUCUUCGGGGACGAAACGAGACGGUACCCGAGGAGGAAGCCACGGCUAACUACGUGCCAGCAGCCGCGGUAAUACGUAGGUGGCAAGCGUUGUCCGGAAUUACUGGGUGUAAAGGGAGCGUAGGCGGGCAGGCAAGUCAGGCGUGAAAGAUAUCGGCUCAACCGGUAGCUGCGCUUGAAACUGCAGGUCUUGAGUGAAGUAGAGGUUGGCGGAAUUCCUAGUGUAGCGGUGAAAUGCGUAGAUAUUAGGAGGAACACCAGUGGCGAAGGCGGCCAACUGGGCUUUUACUGACGCUGAGGCUCGAAAGUGUGGGGAGCAAACAGGAUUAGAUACCCUGGUAGU